AGCGAACGCUGGCGGCAGGCUUAACACAUGCAAGUCGAACGCCCCGCAAGGGGAGUGGCAGACGGGUGAGUAACACGUGGGAACGUACCCUUUGGUUCGGAAUAACUUGGGGAAACUCAAGAUAAUAACUGAUAAGCCCACAUGGGGAAAGGUUUACUGCCGCAGGAUCGGCCAGCGUCUGAUUAGCUAGUUGGUGAGGUAAUGGCUCACCAAGGCGACGAUCAGUAGCUGGUCUGAGAGGAUGAUCAGCCACACUGGGACUGAGACACGGCCCAGACUCCUACGGGGGGCAGCAGUGGGGAAUAUUGGACAAUGGGGGCAACCCUGAUCCAGCCAUGCCGCGUGAGUGAUGAAGGCCUUAGGGUUGUAAAGCUCUUUUACCCGGGACGAUAAUGACGGUACCGGGAGAAUAAGCCCCGGCUAACUUCGUGCCAGCCGCCGCAGUAA
rnacentral:rRNA from 1 species